rnacentral:rRNA from 1 species
CUACGGGUUGCAGCAGCAAGGAAUAUUGGGCAAUGGGCGAAAGCCUGACCCAGCGACGCCGUGUGGGGGAAGAAGGCCUUCGGGUUGUAAACCCCUUUUCUCUGGGAAGAAUAAUGACGGUACCUGAGGAAUAAGUCUCGGCUAACUACGUGCCAGCAGCCGCGGUAAUACGUAGGAGGCGAGCGUUAUCCGGAUUUACUGGGCGUAAAGAGGGUGUAGGCGGCCUUUCAAGUCGGGUGUGAAAUCUCCCAGCUUAACUGGGAGCGGUCAUUCGAUACUGUUGGGCUAGAGGACAGCAGAGGGAGGCGGAACUCCCGGUGUAGUGGUGGAAUGCGUAGAUAUCGGGAGGAACACCAGUGGCGAAGGCGGCCUUCUGGGCUGCCCCUGACGCUGAGACCCGACGGCGUGGGGAGCAAACAGGAUUAGAUACCCCCGUAGUC